ensembl:lncRNA
GGAGACGCGUGAACGCGCGAGCGUCCUCCGGCCGGCCCCUUCCUCGUCGCCUCGUCGCCCUCGUCGUCCUCGCAAAUGCGGACUCAGAGCAAAGCAGCUCCCUUGGCACGGGGAGGAGCGCCGCUAACUCGACCACGCUCGCUCCCGUGAGGCGGCUCGCUUGCCGGCGAUCUCCGACGGACGGCUCGCUAGGAGGUACGCCGCCCGUUAGAACGCGUGCCGUUGCUACCGGCUUUCUUUCCGCGACGCCGCUAAGCACGCCUGCGUCCAGUCGGCGCGUACUCGCGUACCGCUGGCGGCCUCUUCCCGCGGCGCCGCCCGCGUUGGCGACGCGGUGCCCGAUGCCGGAGUGAAGCCAGCGGUUCACUGCUGUGGCGCCGCCUGCCGGAAGGGCCGGAAAGCGCACCCGGAGCCGACCCGCCGCCGCGCUGCCAGGUGGGGAAACGGGGCGGGCGGGAAGCGCUUCGAGCCGAGUAGCCCCGGGCUCUCCCGUCCUCCCGAGUGCCGGCAGUGCCUCCGUCGUGAACGCGAUCGGCAGCUUUCGUCGGUGCCCUUUUCCCGUCUGCUUUUCCCGUGGCGGUGGCGGUGAAUCGAGAGAGGAAGCGGUCCUGGGGCACGGCUCGGGGCUCUCAGGGCUUCCUUGGAGUUGCUGGGAGCGUCUGCUGUUAGCAGCAGUUGCUGCGGGAACUCUCCCGUGCUUUCAGCACUCGACCUCCGUUGUACUCUUGAGGGCUUCACCCGACGGCUGCGGGCUGCGGGCUGUGGAUGCGAUGGCAGUGGAUGCAAGUGAGCAGUCCCGUGAGAAGCUCCUUGUUUGCCAAGUUCCUGCCGUGAGGCUGUAGGACCGAGGCCCUCUUUAGCGCACCGCUACAGAGCCAUAGGAAUCUGGGAUGCUUCUGCACACAAAUGAGAAAAUGGAACCGAGGGAGCUUGUGAAAGAGGAGAUCCUUGAGACAAAGCGCAGUGCCAGCCAGAAGCUCAGCCUCGGAUACCUGCACGUGGCCGUCAGACAGAAGAUGGGCAUGAAGACGAGAGCAGAGACAGACCCUACAUUGCACCAAGGCCACGUCAGCUAUGCAGGAGACAGUGGACCUGCAAAUGCAACAAGAAACAGGAAGCUCUUCUUUAACGUCCGUUGUUGCCUUCGUCCUCCCAGCGGCUUCUCCUGCAAGAAGAUGUGGAUGAAGAUCAAGUGAGCACCAGGCUGCCGCCAUAUGUGCAGGAAC